CCCUGACAGCUACAUGGUGUAGCUGACACUAGCCACGACAGGAGAUACAUAUG
rnacentral:sRNA from 12 species